AAAGAACAAGGUAUUAUAAUUUACAUUUGGAGCCUGGGAAUUCGAUUCAGUGCCAGUAGUCACUUAGCAACACCUUUUUGGGAGGGGGAAGCAGCUUUCACGUUAUUCCUUACAAAACUCUGUGAAUCUGUCACUUUUACACAAGGGCUAUGCUAACCUCCCUCGUUCCCACUUCAACAAAGCACAGAAUCGCAGAGCACGCGGUGUGUAAAUGAGGAUAUCUGAGGUUUCCCAGCUCGACUCGCAGCCCCCCAGCACAGACGGGUGCAGCCGCGGGAGAUUGCCUCUCAAGGAGGCCUCCACCACCGCACCACAACCCACAUCCAGCGCCGCAUGGACCGAGGCGGCCUCCCCAGGCACCGCUGUGGGCAGGGGCGCACAUUGUUCAAAAUUUCCCCGCCUCCGCCGAGUCCUUCCGGGUCAACGGCGGAGCCGCCUCAACGGUCACUUUGAACAGCGGGUGAGUUAUUAACUUAGCAGCCGCUUUCCCGCGCGCGCUCCUCCGGGAUCCGCGGCCGGUAGUGAAAAA